UAAUGUGUUCGAAAAAUAAUGUAUGUAAAUCUGGCUUGUGCACUUGCACAAUUCCUAAAGAUUAAUGUAAUUUCCUCUAACAUAAUUCAAAUGCUAAGUAAGAAACUUGUGCCAGUUACUCUGCUUCCCAACACUUUCAUAGUGGCAGUUCUGAGGACGAUAAACACGGAAUACAACUUAUAAUUUUUUCUCGUUCUUCUCUCAUUCUCGGUGUGACGGCUGAAUACGGACCAUGGACGUUCCUUCUCUCGGCGUGACGGCUGAACACGGACCAUGGACGUUCCUUCUCUCGGCGUGACGGCUGAACACGGACCAUGGACGUUCCCGUGAUCUUCCUGUAGGAGUUGGAGCCAUGUUCCCCCACCACCUGCAUGGCAGUGUUCUCAGGCAUAGCUGAUGUCGAAGUGGUGGCGCAGUGACGGGGUUGAAGACUGAGGCGUUCUGAGGUCUUGUUGCUGGUAACAUUGUUUUCCGGCGAGAAUGGCAGAAAAGCGGAUCGAGGUGGCAACAAUGAGUAAGAAAAUGGCCGUGGCAACUGUGAGAAUUUUUUCUUGGCGGGUCAACACUGACCAUGGACGCUUCCGUGAUCUUCCUUGGAGCUAGAGCCAUUUUCAAGUGUUCUCAAACAUGUGAGGGUGACGGCUGACCAUGGAAGUUCCCGUGAUAUUUCGGUAGAACCAGGAGCCCUUUCCUCCCCACCUGCAUGGACGUGUUCUCAGGCAUGAUUCCUCCUUCAAGGAUACAUGGUGCCUUGACGUGGUAAGUGGCGUCACCACCUCUGGCUCCUGUUCUCUCCCGUCCUGAUUUGGGAUUCUUGGUGGUUGGUUCCCUCUGAGCGUGACGGCUGAACAUGAACGUUCCUCCCCCCAGCGUGACGGCUGAACAAGGACUUUCCUGUGAUGUUCCCAUAGGAGCUGAAGCCACUUCUCUCCCAACAUGCAUGAUUCUCCCUCUGAGGAUGGUGCCUUGACGUGGUGAGCGGCCUGACCUCUUGUGUGGCGGUGGCUCCUGCUCUCUUCCCUACAGUCCUCGCUUUGGAUUCUUGGCGGUUGGUGGGGGGCGGCAAGGAAGGUGUUGGGCGUGGUUGGGUGGUGGUGCGACCGAUUGGGGUAUUUUUGGAGUGGUGUUGGGAAUGGUUGCGUUGUUUUGGGGGAAGCAUUGGGACUGGUUAUGGGUGGUUUCGGUACUGGUUGGGAGGUAUUGGGACUGGUUGGGUGUUGGGAAUGGUUUGGGAGG